AGUGAACGCUGGCGGCAGGCCUAAUACAUGCAAGUCGAACGGCAGCACAGCAGAGCUUGCUCUGUGGGUGGCGAGUGGCGGACGGGUGAGGAAUACGUGGGAAUCUGCCCAGUCGUGGGGGAUAACGUAGGGAAACUUACGCUAAUACCGCAUGCGCCCUUCGGGGGAAAGCCGGGGACCGUUCGGGCCUGGCGCGAUUGGAUGAGCCCACGUCGGAUUAGCUAGUUGGCGGGGUAAAGGCCCACCAAGGCGACGAUCCGUAGCUGGUCUGAGAGGAUGAUCAGCCACACUGGAACUGAGACACGGUCCAGACUCCUACGGGAGGCAGCAGUAGGGAAUAUUGGACAAUGGGCGCAAGCCUGAUCCAGCCAUGCCGCGUGAGUGAAGAAGGCCCUCGGGUUGUAAAGCUCUUUUGUCCGGAAAGAAAAGCGCCGGGUUAAUACCCUGGUGUCCUGACGGUACCGGAAGAAUAAGCACCGGCUAACUUCGUGCCAGCAGCCGCGGU
rnacentral:rRNA from 1 species